UUUUUUUUUUUUUUUUUUUUUUUUUUUUAUGUCACUAGGUCGGCAAACAAGCGUACGGCUCACCUGGUGGUAAGCGAUUACCGUAGCUUAUAGACGCCUGCAACACCAGAAGCAUGGCAAGCGCGUUGCCGACCCAAUCCCCAAUCCCCCCCCCAGGAGCUCUGGUCACCUUACUCACCAACAGGAACACAAUACUGCUUGAAAACAGUAUUAUUUUGCUGUGAUCUUCUGUAAGGUCGAGGUACUACCCCAGUCGGGCUGCUCCAUAUUUUGAGCAGGAAAUUCCUGCUGUGCCCUACCUCAUUUAGGCUAAUUAAGAU
rnacentral:misc_RNA from 1 species